rnacentral:rRNA from 1 species
AGCGAACGCUGGCGGCAGGCCUAACACAUGCAAGUCGAACGAAGUCUUCGGACUUAGUGGCGGACGGGUGAGUAACACGUGGGAACGUGCCUUUAGGUUCGGAAUAACUCAGGGAAACUUGUGCUAAUACCGAAUGUGCCCUUCGGGGGAAAGAUUUAUCGCCUUUAGAGCGGCCCGCGUCUGAUUAGCUAGUUGGUGAGGUAAAGGCUCACCAAGGCUACGAUCAGUAGCUGGUCUGAGAGGAUGACCAGCCACAUUGGGACUGAGACACGGCCCAAACUCCUACGGGAGGCAGCAGUGGAGAAUCUUGCGCAAUGGGCGAAAGCCUGACGCAGCCAUGCCGCGUGGAUGAUGAAGGUCUUAGGAUUGUAAAAUCCUUUCACCGGUGAAGAUAAUGGCUGUAGCCGGAGAAGAAGCCCCGGCUAACUUCGUGCCAGCCGCCGCUGUAACAC